UUGAACGCUGGCGGCAUGCCUUACACAUGCAAGUCGAACGGUAACAGGUCUUCGGAUGCUGACGAGUGGCGAACGGGUGAGUAAUACAUCGGAACGUGCCCGAUCGUGGGGGAUAACGCAGCGAAAGCUGUGCUAAUACCGCAUACGCCCUAUGGGGGAAAGCGGGGGAUCAGCAAUGACCUCGCGCGGAUGGAGCGGCCGAUGUCGGAUUAGCUAGUUGGUGGGGUAAAGGCCUACCAAGGCGACGAUCCGUAGCGGGUCUGAGAGGACGGCCCGCCACACUGGAACUGAGACACGGUCCAGACUCCUACGGGAGGCAGCAGUGGGGAAUUUUGGACAAUGGGCGCAAGCCUGAUCCAGCAAUGCCGCGUGCAGGAUGAAGGCCUUCGGGUUGUAAACUGCUUUUGUACGGAACGAAAAGACUCCUUCUAAUAAAGGGGGUUCAUGACGGUACCGUAAGAAUAAGCACCGGCUAACUACGU
rnacentral:rRNA from 1 species